GUACAUUCCUAUAGCAUAGCGUUAAUGCAUCGGAUCCCAUUAGAACUCUAUAGUUAAGCGCCUUCAGGCUAGAGUAGUAUUGAGAUGGGUGACUACCC
rnacentral:rRNA from 1 species